GACGUAGGGCGCGAGCGUUGUCCGGAUUUAUUGGGCGUAAAGAGCUCGUAGGCGGCUUGUCGCGUCGAAUGUGAAAACUCGGGGCUCAACUCCGAGCUUGCAUUCGAUACGGGCAGGCUAGAGUUCGGUAGGGGAGACUGGAAUUCCUGGUGUAGCGGUGAAAUGCGCAGAUAUCAGGAGGAACACCGGUGGCGAAGGCGGGUCUCUGGGCCGAUACUGACGCUGAGGCGCGAGAGCGUGGGGAGCAAACCGG
rnacentral:rRNA from 1 species